CGAUUAUCCUGUAAUACGCUCAAGUUAACAUAAAAUUAAUGGUGGACUGAAUUGGAAAUCUGGGUUUAUCUCAGGCACAAGUGCCCUACAAAUCCAUGCAGAUGCUUGCAAGUUUUCAAAAUGGCUAUCGAAUUUGACACAGAGUUUGUGGAGAUUGACGUCGAGGUUAGUCCCCAACAUAUAAUACAUGCUUAAAAGCUAGAAAAAUUAUUAGGAAAAGCCUCCCUGCACAGGAUAUGUACAGGUGUACACACAUGAGAGUGGACCCCACACAUCCAUGUGUGUGCACCUGUUCAGGCCUGUGCAAAGGCGUGUCACAACUCUAUUAUUACUUAUCUUGGCUUAGAAAAUUAGUUUAACGCACAACCAUACGUGCUCGUAAAAUAUGUCUUAUAUUUCAGAUGGCAACUGAAGCAGUUCUUAACGAAUUUAUGAGAAAAAGAUCAAACACAAAAAUAAUUGUCUCAGGCCAUUUGAAUGGAGAAACUCCUACCACUGAAAAUCUCGGCAACUUGAUUAUAGACCUACAAUCUACUGGAGCUGAUGUUAUUAAACUUGUGGUUGAUGUGUCUUUUAUUACAGAUGUAGCACCAAUAUUCCACAUGCUCACCCAUUGCCAGGUACUAAGUAUAUAUGCUCGACUCGAGCAAAUUUAGAUACACAUCUCUCUUUUUUUUCAUUGUUGUCAAGUCGAGAUAAAUUUGUCUUCUGAUCUCUAUAGUUCAAGUUUUUAAAUGAUAGUAUGGUGACAAAUUUUUUAUUUUUUUUAUCAAAAUUCUGACACAUCGACAACUUUCGUAAAAGGUUAAUUCUAUGCAAGAGGGGACACGUUUAUUUUUUUAUGUAAAAUUUUUGAUCAUGCAUGCAGGUGCCACUAAUUGCAAGAGCAGUGGGAGAUAGAGGUCUUAUAAGCCAACUAUUGGGCCCAAAAUAUGGUGCCUUCUUAGUAUGUGGAUCUAUAGGAGACAAAUUCAUAUCUGGAUUGCCACCUUUAGGCAGCAUCAAACAAGUCUACAAGUUAGAAUAUAUGAAUUCAGACACACAAAUUUUUGGUUUAGUCUCAAAUCCUGUAGGUCAUAGCAAAGGUCCACUUCUGCAUAAUCCUGCCUUUAGACAUACAGGAUAUAAUGGAAUUUAUGUUCCUCUCUUAGUCGAUAAUGUCGAGGAAUUCUUCAAAGUUUACUCGUGCAACGACUUCACAGGCUUCAGGUACUCUCCAUUUUCUGAAACAGUUUAGCAUAUUGAUGAGCAAAUUAGUAACAUCAAUAUUAAGAUAGAUUUGAAGUGGAUGCAAAGAUUCUUAAGUAUGGCUCGUUUGUCCAAGAUUCUAGCUUUAGUUCUUCUUGAUAAUGGGCAUUCAAACUUCUAUGAAAUUAUCGUAUAAAAAAAGAAAAUCUUUGACAUGAAUUCUGAAUUCAUAAUCAAUGCAAAAUACCAAAUAAAAUGUAUUACUCUUGUCCUAUUGUCGGGCAUACUUGUGACUGGAUUUCUUUCUAAUGCAAAGACAUCUACUUUAGAGAUAUGUAUUAGUCUUCUUUGAUCACAUUUUGGAUAUAUCUAAUGUGUGAAUUUCUACGUCUUCGGUAACUUAUAGUGUUGGGAUACCACACAAGGAGGCAGUGUUAAAAUUCUGUGAUGAAGUUCAUCCCCUUGCUCAGGUAUGAA
rnacentral:lncRNA from 1 species